rnacentral:rRNA from 1 species
GGUCGAUCAUGGCUCAGACGAACGCUGGUGGGAUGCUUGCUACACGUGUCGGGAACGCAGCACGGACUUCGGUCUGUGGCGAGUGGCGAACGGGUGAGUAAUGGGUAUCGGAAUGCCUUAGUAGUGGGCACAACGAUAGCAGCGGUAGCGACAUCGCAUAUCUUCGGGAAAGCAAUCUUCUGGCUCGCAACGAUAGAGCUGGCUGAUAUCGAUUUAGCUAGUUGGUGGGGUAACGGCUCACCAAGGCGACGAUCCGCAGCUGGCUUUGAGGAGGAUGACCAGCCACAUUCGGGACUGAGACACGGCCCAGACUCUACGGGAGGCAAGCAGUGGGGAAUUUUUGGACAACGGGGGAAACCCUGAUUCGCGGUCCCGCGGGUGAUGGAAGGCCUUCGGGUUGCAGCACUUUGGCAGGAAGAAACGGCACGGAUAAUAUCACUCCUGUGCAACUGACGGUACCUGCAGAAUAAGCACCGGGCUAACUACGUGCCAGCAGCCGCGGUAAUACGUAGGGUGCAAGCGUUAAUCGGAAUUGACGGCAAGCGUGGCAGGCGUUCUGGAAAGAAAGAUGUGAAAUCCCAGAGCUUAACUUUGAACUGCAUUUUUAACUACUGAGUUAGAGUGUGUCAGAGGGAGGUGGAAUUCCGCGUGUAGCAGGAAUGGCGUAGAUAUGCGGAGGAACACCGAUGGCGAAGGCAGCUCUGGGGACAGCAAUUGACGCUCGAUGCACGAAAGCGUAGAGCAAAAUGAGAUUAGAUACCUGUAGUCCACGCCCAAACGAUGUUUCACCAUACAAAUGUCAGCGCAGCUAUCAGGUGAAGUUGACCGCCUGGGGAGUACGGUCGUAAGAUUAAACUCAAAGGAAUUGACGGGGACUCCGCACAAGCGGUGGAUGAUUAAUCGAUAACGCGAAAAACCUUACCUACCCUUGACAUGUCUGGAAUCCCCAGCGAUUUGGGUGCCUGCAAGAGAACCGGAACACAGGUGUCAUUAUGUCGUCACUGUAUGUCGUGAGAUGCUGGUUAAGUCCUGCAACGAGCGCAACCCUUGUCAUUAGUUGCUACGAAAGGGCACCUUCUCUAUGAGAUUGCCGGUGACAACCGGAGGAAGGUGGGAUGACGUUUGUCUCGGCAUUCUAUGGGUAGGGUUUCACACGUCGCUACAAUGAAAUGGGACAGAGGGUCGCCAACCCGCGAGGGGAGCCAAUCCCAGAAACCCGAUCGUGCAGUCCGGAUCGCAGUUCAAAUCAUCAGAAGUCGGAACGCUAGUAACUAUGGACCAGCACGUCGCGUGAAUACGUUCCCGGUCUUGUACACACCGCCCGUCACACCAUGGGAGUGGGUUUUACCAGAAGUAGUUAGCCCAACCGUAUAGCGAUUACCACGGUAGGAUUCAUGACCGGGUGAAGUCGUAACAAGGUAG